rnacentral:rRNA from 1 species
GGGACCUAAGCUGAGGCCGAAAGGCGUAGGUGAUGGACAACAGGUUGAUAUUCCUGUACUACCGAUAACCGUUUGAGAGAAGGGAUGACACAGUAGGAUAAGCUAAGCACACUGUUGGUUAUGUGUGUCCAAGCAUUGAGGCAGUCAAAGCAGGCAAAUCCGCUUUGAUAAUGCUGGGAUGUGAUGGGGAGCGAAAUUUAGUAGCGAAGUAGCUGAUUUCACACUGUCAAGAAAAGUCUCUAUCGAGGUUAAAGG